rfam:Salmo salar isolate Sally breed double haploid chromosome ssa06, whole genome shotgun sequence.
UGCACUCACUACUGUUAGUCGCUCUGGAUAAGAGCAUCUGCUAAAUGACUAAAA